rnacentral:rRNA from 1 species
UGUACCUCUGGUGUACCAGUUGUCGUGCCAACGGCAUAGCUGGGUAGCUAUGUAUGGACGGGAUAAGUGCUGAAAGCAUCUAAGCAUGAAGCCCCCCUCAAGAUGAGAUUUCCCAACUUCGGUUAUAAGAUCCCUCGAAGAUGACGAGGUUAAUAGGUUCGAGGUGGAAGCGUGGUGACACGUGGAGCUGACGAAUACUAAUCGAUCGAAGACUUAAUCAA